GUCCUUUUGAUUUUAAUUUAAGGUCUGACCUGCCCACUGAAGUUUUGAAUGGCCGCGGUAUUUUGACCGUGCAAAGGUAGCAUAAUCAAUAGUUUUUUAAUUAAAAGCUGGUAUGAAUGGUUAGAUAAGAAAAUGGCUGUCUCAAUUUAAUUUUAUUAGAAUUUUAUUUUUAAGUUAAAAAGCUUAAAUAUUUUUAAAAGACGAGAAGACCCUAUAGAGUUUAAUAUUAAUUUUUAGAUUAAUAAUUAGGAUUUAUAUUUAAUUUAUAAAUUUAAUAUUUGGUUGGGGUGACAGAAAAAUUAAAUGAACUUUUUUUAUAUUAUUACAUUAAUUUAUGAAUUUAUGAUCUUUUUUUAAUGAUUAAAAGAUUAAAUUACCUUAGGGAUAACAGCGUAAUUUUUUUUAAGAGUUCUAAUCGAAAAAAGAGAUUGCGACCUCGAUGUUGGAUUAAAGUUAAUAUUUGGUGUAGAUGUUAAAAUAUUAGGUCUGUUCGACCUUUAAAACUUUACA
rnacentral:rRNA from 1 species